rnacentral:lncRNA from 1 species
UUAAAUCCAGUUUCAUGUUCUUUCCUCCCCAGUUUUUGAUUUAUUGUUUUUUUAAACAUAUGUGUGCAGAUCUGAGGAACAAAAAUAAGGGGAUGAAUCUUGAGGAAGAGCUUGGAUAAGAACAAGGUGAUCUCUCUCUCUCUGAAUUUAAGUCCAGUUUCAUCGUUCUUUAUUGAUGCUAUUUCUCGUGGGAUAUUCAGGAGUUGAGAACAUAUAUUUUGUAGGUGUUCGUAAUGGCAACGGUUGUAAUCAACGAUGAGAAAAAGGGACUGAGAUUGGAUUUGUACUAGGCAUGUUCCUCAUCUCUCUCAGUCCUUGUUCCUAUCCCCACCCUGAUGUAACUGUUUCUUCACAACUGUUGGAUGUGUCUUAGGAGAUAAAUGCCAUGAAUUGUUUAGAUUCUUGUUGAGCUAACCACUAACAAAUUGUUUGUCCCCUUGUUAAAGCUAAUCAUAGUAAUAUCUGGUAAUCGUCCCAGUCAAAAAAAAUAUAUCUGGUAAUCGUCCACUGAUGUGUAUGGUGGCAACCAAAUUCAUGUUGAUGAACUGAAUCAAAUCUGUAGUAAAGUUAGUGUUAAAUCACACAUGUGUACAUUCAGGUUCAAUACACUCGAGCAGUUUUGUCACAUCUGUGGAUUUAGUAUGACAAGAAAAUUACUUGGAAACCCUCUUCUUCACGUCCAGCGGCCGACGCAGCUCUCGUGCCCUCCCAGCACUGCCGGUCGGGAGCUUCUCCAUCCUACGCUGCUGCCUCGUAUCGGCUGUGCGAAGGAGGGCGGCGAGCAGCAGGAGCUCACCGCGUGCGUGGAGUUGUGUGGACUCCCUGCACCGCAGCUGCCUCUUUGCCAUUGCUGCGAUGCCUCACCGGCCAUGGAUCUGCCGCAGAUGGAGAGUGCCAACGGGGCCGCCGCCGAUGGGAAGUGCGAACAGAGAAAGGAUGUGGUCGUCGCCAUCGCAAGAAGGUUUGCCCCCUGACAGACCGUGCAUUGUUGUCGCGGGUGCUGCAGCAGUCUUGCUCCUUCCUGGAGCCUUCCUCCUCUCACACCGCCUCUUUGGCGACCCCUGUAGGUUCAUGGUUUUACUCCUGGAGUGGUGUAUUCCUUGAUGAUAUGUUGAUGCGGUCCGCUUGGUGUUCUUGUUCUGUUCUUACUUGACAAUAGAGAAAAGAAAUAUCAUCUUUGAAAUGCUUGGAAUCGAUAGAUCAUUCAUGCCGUGGUUGGAUGCAAAUUAAGAACUAUUGGUAUAAGUUUUGUUUUCUUGGUCGGACUUUGUUCAUUUGAUUGUCUUAGUGCAGUCACACGUGCACACUUUUUGCAGGCAUCAGUGAAGAUUUGGGCAGCAGGUAGGGAGGGAUUGCUGGAGUGGAAACAUGGCAAGAACCGGAAAGAGCUCAAGAUUUUGCUACUACCUUGCUAAUAAAUUUGUGAGGUAAUUCAGCUAGCUACAUGUGUAUUUGUUUCUGCUAUACCAAGGUCAUUAUUCUGAUUUAGAAAAUAGAAACAUGAAUUCUGAUUUAAGAGUCUAAUAGCAAAUGUUGGUAGCAUUAAUAGAAUGUGCAUUGUACGCACAAGCUAAUAGUAGAGUUUAAUUCUUCUCAAGUAGCGGUUGUUGAUGUAGACUUGAACUAAUUAAUAAGGUAGGUAUCAAGUAGUGAUAUCGUCCACAAUCGAUGGACGACUAAUAUUCUUGAGCAGGCUCACAGAGCGAGAGACGAACCUGGGCUGACCGGGACCCUUCUAAAACUGUUGUAUAUCUAUGAUUCUGAUCUGUAUAAAAGAACUACAUAGGAUCAUUUUUGUUCUUAUUUUUAAGACAUGCAUGAUCAUCCUAGGCAUUUUGCUGACAAGUAAAAACCUGAAACUAAUUUCUAUUUAACAUAAACUCUAAUAUCUAUACUAUACAGGCAUUUUAGACAUGUAUAUUGGCUCACCAACAAUUUGUCUUCUGUUGAAAUGAAUGGUAACACUUGAUUUUAAAUUUCCUAAAUCUUUAUUAUUCUUCUGUUGCAAUAUAAUAUAACGAGGCAUGGUCAGCAGGAAACCUAAUUCUCCGUGAACAUGCGCAAAAGAGUCAACUUUUAGUUCUUUUAGAAUUUUUGUUCUUUCCUUAGAGUUCAUGAGAAUUAUUUGUAGACGGUGUUGUGAUGCUCCAGUACUUGUGUGAUGAUAUUCUUCUGACUCUUGCAAUGUCCUAUGCUGACAAAUACAAAUGCUCUGCUCUAUUUGAUGCUAUAAUUGUUCAUUUUGAAUCCAUUGCCUCUUUGUAAUGGUAAACCAGAGUCCCUUGACAGUUCGUUGGUCAUCUUCUUCUCAUGACAGAACUGGCAAGAUGUCAUGAUGGAACAAUAUCUUUUCUGCAUGUAGUAAAUUAUUUUCUUAUUAGUUUAGAUCCGUUAACUGCACUAUAUUUUUAGGAGGUGUCACACUAAGAAUUUCAUAGUUGGAUUUUGAUGUUCCAGGUUGCUUUAUGGAAGUAUUUAUAGGCUUGCCAUGACAAGGUAUUUUAUUAGUUUGUUAUCUCCCUUUCCAUAGACUUUUUACAUUCUACUCUGGUUAUUAAGUACGUAUACAUAUAAAGUGUGCUCUAUUGCUUAACUAAAUUCUGGACUUCAGGUAUACUACCUGACAAUGCACCCCGUGUUGAUAAAAAUAACAUUGGGAUGCACCACAUACAGAUUCACAAAGUUUAGGUCUGUUUCCUUGGAGAUUCACAAACAAGUGAUGUAGAAUUGGAAAAUAGUGAUGUAGAAUUGAUCCGAAUUUUAAACAGACCUGCACCUGGGUUUUUAACUGCCUUUUCUGUAUCUUAUUCUUUUACAGGAAUGCAUCAAUAAUCUUGGUAUAAAAUUUAUUUGGAUGGUUCAGAACCUUCAGAUGGCAUGGCUGAGAUAUAGUUUGUUGUAUUCAGUUUUUUUUUCAUCGUCACAGGUUUGCAAAUUUUGGUUCUACUGCCAGUGCAUACUUUAUGUUUCCAUUUCCAUCAAUUCAUCUUGUAGAAUCUCUGUGACCCUCGACGUUGGUUUGGAAGUUCGGUUCAGUCAUAGCCUAAUUUUUGGGUCUUCGCAAAAAAAGGCCUAAUUUUGGGAUUUAGUAAUUGUGGCCUGUUGUUAGUAUGCGAGUGUACAUACAAACGAUUGGCACUAUAUUUAUUUUGAUUUAUUUGUUGUGAUUAAGAGCAGAAGCUCUACUCAUCUAGGACGAGAUCUAUGACAAGGAAAGUUAAUGUAAAAAAUCAAAAUUGUGUGUGUUUGUGUGGUUAAUACACACUUCAUUUUGAUAUAUUUGUCUUCUAAUAACCCACCGUGCACAGGACAGACCAUGCAAGCAUCAACUUAUUGAGAAAUGACUUAUUAACCUAUUAAAAGACCAUACCGGAACCACCUAUGGCAUAACCUUUUCAAAACAUUUAAGUAGGGGUGGGCAAUAGAAGCGUUGUAGUAACUGCUCGGUUGUUGAACGGACAAACAUUUUGACGACUACUCUUGCUUUCAUGGAUAUACAGAGAUAAAUGGAUGGAUGUUGCAAAUAUAGUAGAAAUCAUGGGUGCAACAAUUUUUAUGUCCAUGUUUUUCUUUUUGUCUGAUUGUGUAUGUAUACUGGUUACAGGGCACUAUUUGCGUAGAAUUUACUUGACCUGUAGGAACUGGCUCUACUAUCUAGCUUUUAAAUGUAAUAAAUCUAGAAGGCAAUGGAGCAUUACUGUCUUUCCCUCUUUCUACAUAAGCAAGAAAGCUGUGACUUGGAUUCUGGACAUGAAUCUUCUUAACCUGUUGAAGCAGAAAACUAUAGAUGCAGAGUCCAAUUAGUUGUCCUUUGUGCAUACACAAGAAAGUGGAAUUUGGAGUCUGAACAUGAAUCCUUGAGACUGAUGGCCAGAAACAUAACACAACAUGAUGACCUUGAGUGAGACCCUUCUUCACAUGUGACUGCUCUCUUUUGGAAUACCAGCCAUGCGUGACAUGUUUAGUAGAACAGAUUGUGUCGUACGUCUGGUAGUUGUUGUUGCCUAUACAGAGUGUGAUGAUCUGAGGGUGUGAACUAUUUUUUGUGCAAAAUACUUGUUAUAUAAACUAUAUGGAUGGAGUUACGGGACAUUAAGAAAAGAUAUGAGAAAGAAUAUAGAGUGUGAAAUUUGCUAUAUAAAUUACUUGUUAUAUAAAAGUUGAAUCUCACGAUCCAACUUUUUAGAACUAUGCCACAACUUUUAUGAGGCCAUAAGUUUUUCCUUUGAAAUCUGCAGGUUAUAUGAUUUGUACAUGGCGGUGUUACUGAACAGAAGGAGGUAAUUUCUUCGCUCUUUCUAUUGAUUAAUAUUGUUCUUCACUCUUUCUAAACUAUUGAAUUUAUUAAUAUUAUUCUUGCACAAAUUAAUUAAUGAUUAUAUCAUCUUUUGGUCACUCGAGUAAGAUAGAACAUGAUGAUCCUCUCUUAAUUUGGUUUCUCCUCCGCUGAAGAAUAUAGGAAUCACCAGCAGCCCUUCUCGUGAGCACCAUGUCUAUGAACUCAUCUCCAUGCUUACUAUCCUUCUAUAAACUGGGGGUAUCCAUGUGUUGCUAAUAAGGCAUUUUCCACUCUUUGUUUUUCAAUUCUGUAUCAGUAGUUCCGAGGAAGUGCUCAACCUAGACGUUGUUGGCCAAAGGAGGGGCGGAGCAGGUGCCAGUCAAAUAGGCGGCUCAAUGGGUGGGAGAUGGCAGCUGCCGAUCUCACACGGCUCAUGCGCCCCGCGACCCUCCCCUCCCCGGCUAAGUAGGAGGUUCGAGGGCAGCGACUAAGGAAGGAGCACAUCGGCGAUGAGGGCUAGCAAUAGCAAGACAAUUGCCAGGUGCAGUCGAUAUGCCGCCACGUCGGCCCUUCACGCGCGCCCGCCAGGGUCGGGACCUUUUUCAGAGUAAUGCGUAGUGUUUCCUUUAUUGUUGUUGUUUGUGAUGUCCUUGAUAUUCCUUUGCCAUAUGAUUUUUGAUCAUUUUCUCGCUCAUUCCUAGAGGAGCGCUAUGGAUAAUAUGAUUGAGAUGACUAAGAUACAUGCUUUUUGUUUACUUGGCAUCUGCUUCUCUUAAUUUUUUUACAACCCUUCCUUUACAUGCUGGUAUGUUUUGUUGCCAGGCUCAGAUCGGCGAGACCCGUGCCAAUGCACGAGGUACAAUAUUGGUUAAUUUUCCAUCUCCAAUCAGAUUAAUGGUUUGCAUGCAGACCAAGCCCAGUGUUUUAUGGUGUUCUUAUUCCUGAUUUAGUUGUACAUUUGACUUUUAGUUUCUUCAUAGAUAAUAAAGUAGUGGCAGAUGAACCAGUAAGUUAUAUGUGCCCAUUCUUUGCUGUAAGCAUUAAAUUUGCUCUCUGCUUUUACUUUCAAUGUGUUAUCCGUACCCCUGUUUUUUGUGGCUAAUUAUUAUGUCCUAUCAACAUAUGCAGAGUCCAUGGUAUCAUACGAUUUGAAGUUGAAAAAAUCAUGCUAUGGGUGAUACAGAAAAGUCAUUGCCUUCUUUGCUGGAACAUUUCCUAAGAUGAUCUAAGGUAAUUAUUUUAGUCAGCAUGUCAUUUAUAUGCUAAAUUCAGUGUGUUGACAACUAGAGAUCGCUUCCUUUUUUUGUGUAUUGAUCAUUUCAGUACGAUUGUUUGAUACACUGCCGACAUCAUUUUGCUUUCUUCUUGCUUGUUAUUUCAUUUAUUUCCUCCAGCAAGUGGAUGGCUAUUUCCACUGCUUCAAGUGUUGUUUUGGCUCUAAUUGUGUGUAUGGCAUCUUGGCCUUCUUAGGUGAAGCAUUUAUGAAUAUCCUCGCUGAUCUAUGGAUCUAUCAUUGUAAGAGUCGAUAAUAUAUGGUGAGCUGCCUCACACCAUCAUUUGGUCUUUGUAGCAUUUGAGUUGGCAAAUUUGUUGGAUUCAUGCAAUUAGGCAUGGUAAGUGCUCAGAGACCUCAUAGCUCUAUAAAUUUUGCUUCCAAAAGUUCUGAAUCUUUUCUGUGCUUGGUCCUCUCAUUGGUGAGAGUAGCCAUGUAAAUCAAUCUGCAAUGGGAAAUGGGAGUUUGCAAACUACCGGAGUCUAAUUGCUGAGGGACGAGGUUCGUAACUGAGGGUCAUGUGCAGAGCUGGAGGAAGAAGUUGCGAGGCUUGGAACUCUCCUUGUGAAGGGCUCAGGGACAACAGUGAGGACAAUGCCUCUUUAGUUGUAAUUGUGAUACUCCUGAUGUGCAAGUAAACAUUCCUGUGAUACUGCUUAUGCUAAAAUGUUGGUUGUUAGUACAGAGGUGGUGACAUUAUUUGGUUCUCUGAUAUUGAUUUCAUGAUUUGUAAUAUAAUCCACAUUGCAUUAUCUUUCCAGUAACAUCUCCUACUUAUGCACUACUAACAUUCUUUCUAAUUC